AUGGGAUGAAUUGUAGAGGUGGGAAAGAUUCCUGUUUUAGUAGUUAGUAGUGUAGUUGCGUUAAAACGUAAACACCCGUAUCUACAGCCAGUGUUUGGUUAGUCCGGACUGGCCUACUGUAGAAACGUGGCGGCUCAACAUGGCGGACUCCAUGGAAGGUGACAUGUACCAUCAGCAGAUAUAAAAGAGUCAUUAUAAAGUAACGAUAAAAUAACAAUUCCUAUAUUCAGGAGAUUAUACACUGAUGCAAAAAUGUGAACUGAGUAUUCAUGUAAACAAGAUAAAACCAUAUACAUUACAUUUUGUUUAAUUAGCCUGAAUGUUGAACUUCAGGCUAUGUCCAUACUGAUGUCCAUAUUUGUUAUCUCCUAUUAUUUUGUGCAAAGUCAGAUAUAUGGAAGCUUUCUGGGAAAUACAAGUAGAGAUACAGAAACAAACACAAACAGUUGCUCAAUAUAGUGAAAAAUCAGCUUGUCUCCUCAGGAAAUCAUCAUCCUCAUCUUCAUCAUCCUCACAAUGCCGUCCAUCAGUGUGACUCAGGUGUUCUUGCUGUUGGCCCUCCUCCAUCUCACCACAUCACUUCCUGUCAGGUACCAUCACCUGCACACAUCUCACAGACACAGCCUAAGAAUCAAGACAUCUCUCCCAGAUUUUUCUGAUAUUGUUGUUUGUAUUUGUUUAAAUGUUGUGUGUCGUCCUGUCAUGUGACCUCAGUGAUGAAGAUGAGGUGGAGAGUUUCCUGACUCAGAUCAGACACCUGAACACACCGUGGUCUCUGUCAGGGAUGAACUCUGGAGACGCUCUGCUCGAGGCCAGACUCAGGCAGCUGCUGUCAGCAGGUUUGGACCGCAGGAGGCAACUAGGAGAUAUCGAGUUCUCCAACAGAUACGCAGAGUUUCUGCGAUCUAAGGCCAAACACAGCUCCAUCUGCGCCUUCCUGCGCCGCAUGCAGGGUGUCAAGAAGAGUGGGGUGGGAGGAGACAUGGAGCGAGUGAACCUGCUGCUGAAACAGUACAUGUGCCCGUCGGUCUACAACAACUGGCCGACUGACCUGUAGGCCUAGAGUACACUCAGAGACGGAUUCAAGCUGAUGUAAGAAGGACAAACAUGUUACUGAUGUUCUGAAUGAAUGCAGCUGUUAUCAUAUUUAAUGUGGAAACACAGAUAUCUUUGUUAUUAAAAUAUGUUUUAUGAGG
rnacentral:lncRNA from 15 species